rnacentral:rRNA from 1 species
AGAAGUUAAUCCUGGUUCAGAUGAACGCUAGCGGCAGCUUUACACAUGCAAGUCGAGGGGCAGCAUGCCCAGCAAUGGAUGAUGGCGACGGGCGGAAGGGUGCGUAACGCGUGAGCAACAUGCCCUAUACAGGGAGAUACACCAGGGAAACUUGGUCUAAUAUCCCAUAGCAUUCAUGNAAGGCAUCUUUAAUGAAUUAAAGCUUCGGUGGUAUAGGAUUGGCUCGCGUGACAUUAGCCAGAUGGUGAGGUAACGGCUCACCAUAGCAAUGAUGUCUAGGGGUUUUGAGAGGAAGGCCCCCCACACUGGGACUGAGACACGGCCCAGACUCCUACGGGAGGCAGCAGUGAGGAAUAUUGGACAAUGGAUGGAAAUCUGAUCCAGCCAUGCCGCGUGCAGGAAGACGGCCUUAUGGGUUGUAAACUGCUUUUAUACGGGAGCAAUAAGGGUUACGAGUAAUCCGAUGAGAGUACUGUAUGAAUAAGGAUCGGCUAACUCCGUGCCAGCAGCCGCGGUAAUACGGAGGAUCCGAGCGUUAUCCGGAAUUAUUGGGUUUAAAGGGUGCGUAGGCGGCCAUUUAAGUCAGCGGUGAAAUUUUGCAGCUUAACUGUAACAGUGCCGUUGAUACUGUUUGGCUAGGAUUUGGUUGUAGUGUGCGGAAUGUGUGGUGUAGCGGUGAAAUGCUUAGAUAUCACACAGAACACCGAUUGCGAAGGCAGCACACUAAGUCAUUAUUGACGCUGAGGCACGAAAGUGUGGGGAUCAAACAGGAUUAGAUACCCUGGUAGUCCACACUGUAAACGAUGAUAACUCGCUGUCGGCGAUACACAGUCGGGGCCAAGCGAAAGC